UACGGGGGGGGCAAGCGUUGUUCGGAAUUACUGGGCGUAAAGGGCUCGUAGGCGGCCAACUAAGUCAGACGUGAAAUCCCUCGGCUUAACCGGGGAACUGCGUCUGAUACUGGAUGGCUUGAGAUUGGGAGAGGGAUGCGGAAUUCCAGGUGUAGCGGUGAAAAUGCGUAGAUAUCUGGAGGAACACCGGUGGCGAAGGCGGCAUCCUGGACCAACACUGACGCUGAGGAGCGAAAGCCAGGGGAGCAAACGGG
rnacentral:rRNA from 1 species